UGGGGAAUCUUGCACAAUGGGGGAAACCCUGAUGCAGCGACGCCGCGUGAGCGAUGAAGCCCUUCGGGGUGUAAAGCUCUUUCGGCAGGGACGAAAGUGACGGUACCUGCAGAAGCAGCUGCGGCUAACUACGUGCCAGCAGCCGCGGUAAUACGUAGGGGGCGAGCGUUGUCCGGAAUUACUGGGCGUAAAGGGUGCGUAGGCGGCUAAUUAAGUUGGAUGUGAAAUCCCCGGGCUUAACUUGGGUGGUGCAUUCAAAACUGGUUAGCUAGAGUGCAGGAGAGGGAAGCGGAAUUCCUAGUGUAGCGGUGAAAUGCGUAGAUAUUAGGAGGAACACCAGUGGCGAAGGCGGCUUUCUGGACUGUAACUGACGCUGAGGCACGAAAGCGUGGGGAGCAAACA
rnacentral:rRNA from 1 species